UACAGUUAAAAAUGGUAUCUACUAUAAAAUUUAGGCUCUCUUCAUUAGUGUGUUUAUAGUAUACAUAGUGUACACCUAAGUUCAAACUAAGCAUACGUUUAGUAUUAGAUGCUGAUAUAAAUGAUUAUUCAUAAUUAGUCGUAGAAGCAUUCUGUAGUUUUAACUCCGUAAGGCCCAAAGACCAAAUCAUUUAUAAGUUGCGGCUAAAUAUAGUUCCUAAAAUCAUGGAAUGACGAC
rnacentral:misc_RNA from 1 species